rnacentral:rRNA from 1 species
AAGUGAUGAUUAUUGGAGGUAGAGCACUGUUUGGACGAGGGGCCCUUCUCGGGUUACCGAAUUCAGACAAACUCCGAAUGCCAAUCAAUUUAACUUGGGAGUCAGAACGCGGGUGAUAAGGUCCGUGUUCGAAAGGGAAACAGCCCAGACCACCAGCUAAGGUCCCAAAAUAUAUGUUAAGUGGAAAAGGAUGUGGCGUUGCCCAGACAACUAGUAUGUUGGCUUAGAAGCAGCCAUCAUUUAAAGAGUGCGUAAUAGCUCACUAGUCGAGUGACACUGCGCCGAAAAUGUACCGGGGCUAAACAUAUUACCGAAGCUGUGGAUUGUCCGUAGGACAAUGGUAGGAGAGCGUUCUAAGGGCGUUGAAGCAUGAUCGCAAGGACAUGUGGAGCGCUUAGAAGUGAGAAUGCCGGUGUGAGUAGCGAAAGACGGGUGAGAAUCCCGUCCACCGAUUGACUAAGGUUUCCUGAGGAAGGCUCGUCCGCUCAGGGUUAGUCAGGACCUAAGCCGAGGCCGACAGGCGUAGGCGAUGGACAACAGGUUGAUAUUCCUGUACCACCUCAAUUCGUUUUAAGCGAUGGGGGGACGCAGUAGGAUAGGCGAAGCGUACGAUUGGAUUGUACGUCCAAGCAGUAAGACUGAGUAUUAGGCAAAUCCGGUACUCAUUAAGGUCAAGCUGUGAUGGGGAGAGGAAUUUAUUCCUCGAGUCGUUGAUUUCACACUGCCAAGAAAAUCCUCUAGCUAGAAUUAUGGUGCCCGUACCGCAAACCGACACAGGUAGUCAAGAUGAGAAUUCUAAGGUGAGCGAGCGAACUCUCGUUAAGGAACUCGGCAAAAUGACCCCGUAACUUCGGGAGAAGGGGUGCUCUUUAGGGUUCACGCCCAGGAGAGCCGCAGUGAAUAGGCCCAAGCGACUGUUUAUCAAAAACACAGGUCUCUGCUAAACCGUAAGGUGAUGUAUAGGGGCUGACGCCUGCCCGGUGCUGGAAGGUUAAGAGGAGUGGUUAGCUUCUGCGAAGCUA